ACAAGCAGCGGAGCGUGUGGUUUAAUUCGAUGUUACACGAAGAACCUUACCAGGGUUUGACAUGCAAGUGGUAGGAAGCCGAAAGGUGACCGACCUUCGGGAGCUUGCACAGGUGCUGCAUGGCUGUCGUCAGCUCGUGUCGUGAGAUGUUCGGUUAAGUCCGCUAACGAGCGCAACCCUCGCUGUGUGUUAUAUGUGUCACACGGGACUGCCGGUCUUAAGCCGGAGGAAGGUGGGGAUGAUGUCAAGUCAGCAUGGCCUUUAUAUCCUGGGCUACACACACGCUACAAUGGCCAACACAAUAGGUUGCUAAGCCGCGAGGUGGCGCCAAUCCAUAAAGUUGGUCUCAGUUCAGAUUGUAGGCUGCAACCCGCCUGCAUGAAGAUGGAGUUGCUAGUAACCGCAGGUCAGCAAUACUGCGGUGAAUACGUUCCCGGGUCUU
rnacentral:rRNA from 1 species